CUGGACGGGCGGGCUGUGGCCAGGUGCGGGAACCGACGACUCGGGCACUGCCACCUGCACGCCCGCCUGGCACCCUCGUCUUUCCCCCUUGGAAAGGCCUUUUUUGUUUCGUUUUAACGUUUAACUUCACCCUAACUGCAGGCUCUCAGAGCGGACUUACUUCUUAGUUGGGUGAUCGGAUAAACUCAUUGGAUCUAGUCCUUAGCGAAGGACGGCAGAGCGCCGCGCUCGCAGAGAGCGCUUACAUUUGUUUCAUUUGUGAAACAAUCGUGACCCGCAGUGCCGCUUCGAAUAAUAAGCGAAGUGAGAAUUUGAGGUCCCUGACCAGCCUGACUGAGGAAAUGCCAGCUGGUGUUAGGUAACUGGCUGAGGAAGGAGAAACCCUGCCGAGGAAGUCCCCAGUGGAGAAGCCCACGAAGUGUGCCAAUCCGCACUCGUGCAUGCUGGUGCUCUUCGGGAACCCGAACAAGCCGUACUGGGAAAGGGAGAUUUUUUAACUGAAAUAUUGACAUAGUUAUCAAAAGUUAGAUAUACCUUGGAUGUCCUGAUAAGUAAACUAUUUAUUUCAACUCUUCUGUCUCUUACUGUUUUAAAAGAUGCAAGUUACCAGGUCCAACGGAGGUUGUUGAGAACCAUGUCAGCAGCCACCUACCAUGCUGUCAAAGCACAAUACACUGAUUUUAGGAAUCUGAGCCUCCAAGAGUCUUUCUUGCACAUCUUGAAACAGUAUGUCUGUGUGCUAUCUUUAUCACGAAGAAAGUAGUUAUCUGAGAGUCUAGUUCCAUGAAACUUAGUUUUUGGCUACUAAAUUGAAUGACACAUUUUCUGCCCUUGAGUAAGAGAGAUGUAAGCAGACAACUGCUGUCUUGGUAUUGUAAGAGAUAAAGGCCUGCACAGAGUGUUCCGGUUGUGGGAAAAGGACAAAUGAAACAUUUUGUUCUAGGUCAUGGUUAGGGAAGUCAGCAGAAUAGGGAGAGGUAAAAAGAAAAUGAAAAGAUUAUAUAAAGAAUCAGACUAAGAAGUUAAUCUUAUACAUCAG
ensembl:lncRNA